rnacentral:lncRNA from 1 species
AUGGUCUGCCGCUGGGGAAGAAAGCGAGGCUCAGCCCGUGAAGAUGGGGGGAGCCGAUCGUUUCAUCAGCCACUUCUAACCGAGCUUCUACUGCGUGCCAGGGCUGAGCUGGCGAGGCAGCGAGACCCAGCGCUGCCUGCCAGGAGGAGACGUCAGACUGAGUCACAGAACCAAACCCAGGGCCCAGGGCAGACAGGGCUUUCCAACGAGAAGACGAAGUCAGUGUGGACGGCAGUGAUCAGCAAGGAGGCGAGGGAGAGCAUUCCAGUGGCUCCAGCUAUACUCUCCCCCCUUCACAGACGUGCAAGCUGAGAUGCCCAAAAGCGACACAACUACAACGCUGGGUCACAGGAGCGACCUCCCCCGGAUUCCCUAACCUCGGUCUGUGAACCCACAUCAUUCACAUCUUGUUAUCAAACACGCUUUCUGAACGUACAGGCUUCAUUGAGCCCAGCAGUAAACCCGGACUGCCGCCCUUCAGCCCUGAGUCCUGGGGGAAGCAGUCUGCUGGAAGAGCCCACGCUGGGGGGCCAAGGUGGGAGCCUUCCCUCCUAUUCUCUGACUCACACAGUGCACAGGUGACGUGCAGGCUGCAAACCCUGGCUGCCAACUGACCGGACUCCACAGUGCAGUUCUGCACAAAGUGUUCUCCCCUCCUUUCCUCUAUGAAUGCUCCUAAGGCAGAAGAUAGUAACACCCACUUCCAGCAGAGUCUCUCAAUAGGAAAGGGUGGCUCCCCUGGACAGAGCACAAAGGCCUGAAUGGGCCUGGUUCAGGCUCAAUGAUCUAUUCAGCCGCCAUUGAUCCGCGGACUGGGCUGCGAGCCCUCGACGCCGGCCAGCACUGGGGCCUGGGAGCAGGAAGCAUUCUGUGAUCUUUCUUUUUCCAUUAUGUUUGCAUGUGCGUGCCCAAGGCCACGCGUACCCCGUGGUUUGAGUCUGAGCCCCACCCUCCUGGGUCAGGACAGUAAAGAGCUGGUAGCCCUUCUCCCAGACAGUAAUAAUGCCAGGGGGAGGGGCACCAUCAUUGUUUUUGCUUAGGAGCUGGAAGCCCGGGUGAAUCCAAUCCUCAAUGCCAUAGAGCCUGCCAGAGGAGAGGUAUCUGGGAAGGUUCCAGAGUAGGAAGGGACGCUCUCCCCUUGGUCAGCUUUUCCCUGACAUCUGGGACCUUCUAGCUCCAGGAACGUGACAGCCUAGCUCCUUGCCAGUGCAGCCCCAUCCUGGAACUGCAAGGGUAGGACUGCUCUCUGCUUUAGGGUUUGCGGUUGGCUAGCACGGAGCUUCCCCUGCCUCCACCCCCAGCUGCAGGCUGC